rnacentral:rRNA from 1 species
UACGUAGGGUGCAAGCGUUAUCCGGAAUUAUUGGGCGUAAAGAGCUCGUAGGCGGUUUGUCGCGUCUGCUGUGAAAACUGGAGGCUCAACCUCCAGCCUGCAGUGGGUACGGGCAGACUAGAGUGCGGUAGGGGGAGAUUGGAAUUGACUCGGUGGUAGCGGUGGAAUGCGGCAGGAUAUCAGGAGGAACACCAAUGGCGAAGGGCAGGAAUCUCCUGGG